CUCAACCUGAGAGUUUGAUCCUGGCUCAGAACGAACGCUGGCGGCAUGCCUAACACAUGCAAGUCGAACGGCUCUUCGGAGCAGUGGCGCACGGGUGAGUAACGCGUGGGAAUCUACCCUGAGGUUCGGAAUAACGGUUGGAAACGACCGCUAAUACCGGAUGUGCCCUAUGGGGCAAAGGCUUGCCGCCUUGGGAGGAGCCCGCGUCCGAUUAGCUUGUUGGUGGGGUAACGGCCUACCAAGGCGACGAUCGGUAGCUGGUCUGAGAGGAUGAUCAGCCACACUGGGACUGAGACACGGCCCAGACUCCUACGGGAGGCAGCAGUGGGGAAUAUUGGACAAUGGGCGAAAGCCUGAUCCAGCAAUGCCGCGUGUGUGACGAAGGCCUUAGGGUUGUAAAACACUUUCGCCGAUGACGAUGAUGACGGUAGUCGGAUAAGAAGCCCCGGCUAACUCCGUGCCAGCAGCCGCGGUAAUACGGAGGGGGCGAGCGUUGUUCG
rnacentral:rRNA from 1 species